UACGAAGGGGGCUAGCGUUGCUCGGAAUCACUGGGCGUAAAGCGCACGUAGGCGGAUCGUUAAGUCAGGGGUGAAAUCCUGGAGCUCAACUCCAGAACUGCCUUUGAUACUGGCGACCUUGAGUUCGGGAGAGGUGAGUGGAACUGCGAGUGUAGAGGUGAAAUUCGUAGAUAUUCGGAAGAACACCAGUGGCGAAGGCGACUCACUGGACACAUAUUGACGCUGAGGUGCGAAAGCGUGGGGAGCAAACAGG
rnacentral:rRNA from 1 species